rfam:Ciona savignyi cont_28731, whole genome shotgun sequence.
GGUAGCGUGGCCGAGCGGUCUAAGGCGCUGGUUUUAGGCACCAAUCAUUUCGAUGGCGUAGAUUCGAAUCCCACCGCUGCCA